GACGAACGCUGGCGGCGUGCCUAAUACAUGCAAGUCGAACGCAGUGGGGACGGGUGAGUAACACGUGGGUAACCUCGCAUCAGAGGGGAUAACACUUGGAAACAGGUGCUAAACCGAUACUGAUGGAUGGACCCGCGGUGCAUUAGCUAGUUGGUGGGGUAACGGCUCACCAAGGCCACGAUGCAUAGCCGAUCUGAGAGGGUGAUCAGCCACACUGGGACUGAGACACGGCCCAGACUCCUACGGGAGGCAGCAGUGGGGAAUCUUCGGCAAUGGGCGAAAGUCUGACCGAGCAACGCCGCGUGAGUGAAGAAGGUCUUCGGGUCGUAAAACUCUGUUGUUAGAGAAGCGGUAUCUAAAGAGGAAGCCACGGCUAACUACGUGCCAGCAGCCGCGGUAAUUC
rnacentral:rRNA from 1 species